rnacentral:rRNA from 1 species
CGACCUGAGCUCAGGCAAGACUACCCGCUGAACUUAAGCAUAUCAAUAAGCGGAGGAAAAGAAACUAACUAGGAUGCCCUUAGUAACGGCGAGCGAACCGGGCAAAGCCCAACUUGAAAAUCUCCAGCCUUCGGCUGGCGAAUUGUAGUCUAGAGAAGCGCUCUCUGCGCCAGUCCGGCCCCAAGUCCCCUGGAAAGGGGCGUCAGAGAGGGUGAGAACCCCGUUGGGACCGGAUCCUGUCGCUCCACGAGACGCUUUCGC